GGGGCUGUAACUCAAUUGGUAGAGUGUCUGCUUUGCAAGCAGGAUGUUGUCGGUUCGAGUCCGAUCAGUUCCA
rnacentral:tRNA from 2 species